UUGCCAUGGAAAUAGCACUUGAUUUUGCCAAAUAAAGAUGCCUAUUUUGCAGUAAUUGAAGGUAAAGCAUAGUUCCUAGAAUCAUCAGAAAUAUCAUUUGAACCAAUGUCCUUAAUUUCCCUAAAAUAACUUCUGGCAGAACAUGAUUUUUUUCCAAUGUUGCUAUUAUUAGAAAAUGAAGGUAAAACAUAAUAUAUCUUUUUGUCUGGAUUCCAAUUGUCUCUUACAAUAGACUUCCCUUCUACCACAUCCUGUAUUCUGGAGUUGCAAAUCUUUGAUUUGUAAAACUUUUCUUCCUUGUUCUUUGAAUAUAGACCCAUCUUAUUGUUAUCCUUACCAUGUUUUACCACUCUGUCACUUUUAUUGCUUUGGUAUCAUUUACUCUACUAUGAUUAGCAAAGAACCUUUUCAAUGACCUUUUAUACCAUACUUCCACACUUCUCUUUGAUAAAUAGUAGCAAAAUAGUAAUAAAGCAGAAAUCCCACAGAAUGGCCAAGAAGAGAUUUUUUAGUGAUCUACUUUGUAUUUUCAUUUUUAUACAUUGUUUGGAGAAAAGGAAGUUUUAAGAAGCAUUUUUAUUUGUCAAAGAAUCAAUAGCAUAGAACAAGGUAUAAAAAGGAGCUUCAGUGGCUAUUUAGUCCAACUUUUCUCUGACUUGAAGACCUUGAAUGAAUGUUAGUUAAAUAUGUGACUAAUAUAUACUGGGAAAGAGGGGGUAACAAAAUCAAGAUUUGAAAUUGCCUCACUAUAUCAAAACAACAAGAUGAAAUUUGAUGAGUUUUAUAUUUAUUUUCAAGAAAUGUCAAAUCAAAAGGAAACCUAGAUUAGCAGCAGUUACAUAUGAUGAAUGUGUAAGAAUUCUGGUUAUUCACAAAAAUAUAAAUGAUUUGAUAUAGUUACUAAACAAUGUCAUUUUAAGCAGUAUGGAUAGAACAAUAAUGUCUAGAUUAUAGGAAGAUAGCUCCAUUAAAAAUUUUACUAAUGUCAAUAGAAUAUUUUGUUCCUUUCUGGAUACAUAAUUUGAGAGACAUUAGCAAUCUACAUAUCAUCUAGAAAGACCACCAGAAUAGUUAAGAGACUUAGAAAUGUUGCCAUUUAAGAAAAGAAGGAAAUGGAUGUAUUUAAUAUUGGUGAAAAGGAAGACUGAGAUAUGAGAGACUUGUCUUUAAAUAAUUGAUUAAUAAUAGGAUUAUAAUAGGAUUGAUGGACGGAACAGACAUUCUCUGUGUUAUUAAGGGAUAUUAUGAAAGAGAGGACUAAUCUGAAAAUUUAAGACCUGGGUUUUAGUCUUUAUUAUUUAUUCCUCAUUUGGACCUGAGUGAGUCAUUUGACCAUUUUCCCUCUCUUUUUAUUUUUUUCUUUUAUUUUUCUUUUAAGAAAGAGGAAAAAGCACUCAAAACUAGAAGGCAACAUAUAGGGUAUUAUUAUUAAUACCUUAAUAUUGCAUGAUUUUGGCCCUCUGAAAGAAACUUUCCAAUAAUUAGGACACUACAAAUUGAAUGGAUUGCCUCCAUGUGAAGUAACUUUUCUAUACUUCUCCAAAGGUGCAGUGGAGAACUAAGAAUCAGGAAGACUCUGAGUUCAAAUCUGGGUUUAUAUUCUUAGUAACUCUGUAAACUUGAGCAAGUCACUACCCUGAUCAAGUCUCUUAAUCUAUAUUUUUCUCAGUUUUCAUCAAAUGUAAAAUGGGAAUAAUAUCACCUAACUCCCAGGGUUAUUUUCUUUUCUUUUCUUUUUUUUAAUAACUUUUUAUUGAUAGAACCCAUGCCAGGGUAAUUUUUUACAGCAUUAUCCCUUGCACUCACUUCUGUUCCAAUUUUUCCCCUCCCUCUCUCCACCCCUUCCCCCAGAUGGCAAGCAGUCCUUUACAGGUUGAAUAGGUUACAAUAUAUCCUAGAUACAAUAUAUGUGUGCAGAACCGAACAGUUUUCUUGUUGCACAGGGAGAAUUGGAUUCAGAAGAUAUAAAUAACCCAGGAAGAAAAACAAAAGUGCAAGCAGUUUAUAUUCAUUUCCCAGUGUUCUUUCUUUGGGUGUAGCUGCUUCUGUCCAUCAUUGAUCCAUUGAAAUUGAAUUAGCUCUCUUUAUCGAAGAGAUCCACUUCCAUCAGAAUACAUCCUCAAACAGUAUUGUUGUUGAGGUAUAUAAUGAUCUCCUGGUUCUGCUCAUUUCACUUAGCAUCAGUUCAUGUAAGUCUCACCAGUCCUCUCUGUAUUCAUCCUGUUGGUCAUUCCUUACAGAACAAUAAUAUUCCAUAACGUUCAUAUACCACAAUUUACUCAACCAUUCUCCAAUUGAUGGGCAUCCAUUCAUUUUCCAGCUUCCAGCCACUACAAACAGGGCUGCCACAAACAUUUUGGCACAUACAGGUCCCUUUCCCUUCUUUAGUAUCUCUUUGGGGUAUAAGCCCAGUAGAAACACUGCUGGAUCAAAGGAUAUACACAGUUUGAUAACUUUUUGAGCAUAGUUCCAAAUUGCUCUCCAGAAUGGCUGGAUAUGUUCACAAUUCCACCAACAAUGUAUCAGUGUCGCAGGGUUAUUUUCUAUGUGCUUAUCACUAUGUCUGGCUCAUAAUUAGUAUUUAAUAAACCCUUCCUCUCUUAUCUUGCCCCAUCUCCUUUCUCCCACUUUUUUCCCUCUCUCCUUCCCUGCUUCUUUCCUUCCUUCCUUCCCUAACUUAUUCCCUCUCUCCCUACCUUCCUUUUUUUACUUCUUUGUACCUUCUUCUAUUCCUUUUGUCCUGCCUUCUUUUUCCCUCACCAUCUUUUUACUCUUCUUCUCACUAUCCUUCAUUCCCUUAUUCCAUGGAAAAUAGAAGCUGAAUGACUGUUUGUAUGGGAUGCUUUGAAAGGGAUUAUUAUUCUGAGUGGGAAUUAAUAAUAGAUGAUUUUUCAAGUCUAAAAUUCUAUAUUUAUCAAUAAAUAUUUUAUAAGACAGGAAUACUUUGACAACUUGGAAAAAUGUUUUCUUAUGAUUAAUUUCCUCUUAAGGGUGAUUAUCAAGAGAAAUUUGUAUUUUUUUUUAAUAUAGAAGAUUUAUUAUUAGCACAGUUCUAAACUAUAUCUAUAUUUGAUAGUUCUACAUUUUUUUACUGUUUGUUUUAAUAUUUGUCAUUUUAAGAUAUCCUAUAUCUAUUUUAAUUCAAAUAAACACAGAUUCAUAAAUAUGGAAGCCAACUUAGGUACCUAAACCAAUCCUUUCAUUUUAUGAAAAAAAAUGAGAUAUCAUAUUAAAAUUAGUUCAAAAGUGGCAUCCAAAUCUCCUGAACUCAGUCUAGUGCAAUGAUUUUUCUCCACUGUACAACACUAUCUUGCAUAUGCUUCAUGUUUUAUACACAGUGCCUCAUUUUUUUUUCUUAUGUAAUCUCUUUUGUACUUUACUUUCCCUCAAUCCCCUGCCCUCAAAUUUUUCUAAAUUUGCAGGUUUAAAAAUGGAAUCCAUAGUGAUCCAUUUGGGAUUUUUUAUUAUUUGAACAACAAAGGUAUCUGUUGCUUCAGAGUUGGCUAUUGAAGAUAUAUUUAAAAUGGAAUUAUACAUAUCUGCCUUAAACAACAGUAAUUAACAAUCCAUGUAUAUGUGACAGGAAUAAUUUUAUGCAAGGGUAAUACAAAUCUGAAGAUUAUUGAUAUACUGAAUGUCUUAAAUUAUUUUUUAUUUGAUUAUGUAUUUUCCUUUAGAAAAAAUAAAACACGUUCAACAAA